rnacentral:rRNA from 1 species
AUGGCACGGGGAACCAUGGUACCCACCCUUUUGGUGCUGCUUCUGGCUGUUUGGUGUGCAACCACCAUCGUCCAGGGAAAGGAGUGGACCGUUGGUGACAAUAAGGGAUGGAGCUUCGGCGUCUCCGGAUGGGAGAGCGGCAAGCACAUCCAGUCCGGCGACGUGCUCGGUGAGAACUCUAAUUAUCAAAUGAUUGGAUGUUCUUGA